GACAGAGGAUGCAAGCGUUAUCCGGAAUGAUUGGGCGUAAAGCGUCUGUAGGUGGCUUUUUAAGUCCGCCGUCAAAUCCCAGGGCUCAACCCUGGACAGGCGGUGGAAACUACCAAGCUGGAGUACGGUAGGGGCAGAGGGAAUUUCCGGUGGAGCGGUGAAAUGCGUAGAUAUCGCUUGGAACGCCGAAGGUGAAAACAGGCUGCUGGGGUUGUGCCGACGCUGAGACACGAAAGCCAGGGGAGCAAACGGG
rnacentral:rRNA from 1 species